GGUGGUGAUGUACUUCCUGUGGCAGGUGACUCAGGGUCGUAAACGUCUCAUCAUGUCUCUACGGGAACAGAUCGUCAACGAGGGGAAGGACAAGGCCUUUCUCCUCAGGAGGUUACAGUGUCUACAGAGACAGGGAGCAGGCAGACCUAGACCACAGGUGCACUUCGAGGAGGAGAGAGCGACCAGGCCAGAGUCAGGGCAGCUUAGAGAAGAAGCACGCCCUCCUCCCUCCUUCCAACACCCAUCCCCCCCCAUGGAGGCCCCCUCCGUGUUCACUCGGCCUCCCUGGGACAGCUCCCCCAGACUAGG